ensembl:lncRNA
AGGGAAGUCAAAGGGCUUAAAGCACUUGUAACAGGAAAGGCUGUGUGAACCAGAAGAUAUCUAGACUCACUAUGGUAAAUAGUAAGUUACAAUUUCUCUAAAAUGUAAUUUUGGUAGUUAAGAUUUUGUCUUUGGAAAUCUAAAUUGUUAGCACUUUUUAUUUAACAGAAAGAGAAAGGGAUUGAGGCAAUGUAUACUAAAGCCUAGCACUAAAAGACUCAGAGUGGGAAACUAUCUACCUUUUUAUAUGUAUUCCAAAUUCUUGGAUACUUUAUAUAAAGAAGUUUAGAGUUUUUGUUUGUGUGUUUAAUUAGGGAAUUGUACAGAGUAUUUUCUAUUUUACAUGACUUUCGAUUAGACCUGUUUCAUUAUAAGGCAAUUCUGUAAUUUGAGGGCUGGAAGGAUUAUUAGGGAUCUGCUAAGUCCAGGUGAGGAAACUGAGGCCAAGGAACAUCAAAGCAGGUGGAUCUCAGCUAGUUCAGUGGCAGAACUGAGGUGCGUUUAUUACUGAAUGGAACCAUAGAACAAUCCUGAGUCAGAGGCAGAAAUAAAUAUUUUUUCCUGUUUUGGGUAAUAAGACCCAAGUUGAGGUUUGCCCAGACCCAACAUCAUUACUUUUUUAAAAAAAAACACCUAUGUUUAUGCUGACCAAAGGUUCUGCAUGUCAUUGAAAGCUGAAAGCAAAAGCCUUGAGAGUAGAGGAGAUCUUGAAAAAAAAAAAAUUACCCGAUUCACCUCCGUACCUUUACUCGGCAUCUCAUUUGAACUAUCCCAAACAGGUAAAGUCAGUUCAGUGUGAAAGGCUGGUAUGGAGAAGAUCCAUGAUUUCUCGUGAGUACUCUCAAAGCUUGAUUCAAGGCCCCGCUACAUCAGGACCUCUAGAGGCUUAGGAAUCUGCAUUAACCACCACCUCACGUACUCCUAGCAGAAGAUUAGCCCUCAGCUAACUACUGCCAGUCCUCCUCUCUUUGCUGAGGAAGCCUGGCUCUGAGCCAACAUCCGUGCCCAUCCUCCUCUAGUUUACACGUGGGACGCCUACCACAGCAUGGCUGCCAAGCAGUGCCAUGUCCGCACCCGGGAUCCGAACCAGCGAACCCCGGGCCGCCGAGAAGCGGAACGUGCGAACUUAACCGCUGCGCCACCGGGCCGGCCCCAAGCAUCAUAAACUUUUAUCGCUUCAGACAUAGACUAACUUCUGAAAAAUAAGAAUAGGCAGCAGAACUGAAUUCAAAGGAAACUUUUCUUUAGGCUUACUAUGAAUGAUUUUUGUCACAUUUGGCAAAAUAUACUGAGUAAACAUGAGGUUUUUAUGAUGUGGUCCUAAUGAUGUAGUCCUGUGAUAUAGUUCUAUUUGAAGAGAAGAAAUGGCAAAAUUGUCCGGAAAAAAGAGCCAGUCUGUGAUCUAAACUCCUUAAACAAUAAUUCUCGAGUGUAAAAAGUAAAGUUGCUGAGAAACUCAUAAACUAUCAAAUGGGGUUCUAGGAAGUUACAGUAAACUCACUUCACCUUCUACUUUAAAAUAGCUAUAAUUUUCAGAUAGUGAAAUAUAAGCUUUGAUUUUUAUGGAAUCAUUAAUUUUUGCAUUUCUUAUUUCAUGAUGGGCAAUAUCAAAUAGUUAGCAUUAUCCAAAAUGGAGUAGUAUAAUGACAUAAGGUUUCAUUGUGUGGUUAGCUAACAAAAAUGGUUUAUAUAAUUGUUAGAUUCUGAAAAUGAUGAAUAUAGCAGAUACAUUUUUCCAUAAAAACUUUAUGUUUUGGGUAUAAUUUGAACUGCAUUUGUUCGAGUCUACAAUUCUCUCUCCAAUAAGUGUCAUCAAAAAACAUUUGGUAAAGUAGUGUUUACUUAUUUAUUCAACAAAUAUUUGUGCCCCAGAGGGUAUAAGACAUUGUGGAGGAUACAGAUUGAUGUAUAAGCUGUGGUCCUUGCUCACCGCCCCUUAAAGCGGCAGUGUAUAAAUGCCAUUCAUGCUGUACAUAAAAAUGUCAGUGAUGUACCUAAAAUGCCCUUAAAUUUCUUCAAUGGCCCAUUUUAAAGCUUUUAUUUAGGAAUUUAUUUAAACCCUUCUUGAACAUGUAAAUGGAAUAAAAAUAUCAAAGUGUCUUCAAAAAACUACACUUCUGUCAAAUAAAGUAUUUCUUAAUUUUUUUUGUCAACCACAAGUUUCUUGGUUCAUCAUAUCCUAAGAGAUUGGCAGUAAGGGGCCACCAAAAGCUCACUACCUACCCCCUACAAAACUUUUUUUUUUCCCCAAACAUCUCUUAAGAUUGAAAGCAUACUUUCU